rnacentral:rRNA from 1 species
UACGAGGGGGGCAAGCGUUGUUCGGAAUUAUUGGGCGUAAAGAGCUCGUAGGCGGUCUGUCGCGUCGGCUGUGAAAACUCGGGGCUCAACUCCGAGCUUGCAGUCGAUACGGGCAGGCUAGAGUUCGGCAGGGGGAGACUGGAAUUCCUGGUGUAGCGGUGAAAGUGCGCAGAUAUCAGGAGGAACACCGGUGGCGAAGGGCGGAUCUCUGGGCCAUACUGACGUGAGGAGCGAAAGCGUGGGGAGCGAACAGGAUUAGAACGU